rnacentral:rRNA from 1 species
GAUGAACGCUGGCGGCGUGCCUAAUACAUGCAAGUCGAGCGAAUGGAUUGAGAGCUUGCUCUUAUGAAGUUAGCGGCGGACGGGUGAGUAACACGUGGGUAACCUGCCCAUAAGACUGGGAUAACUCCGGGAAACCGGGGCUAAUACCGGAUAACAUUUUGAACCGCAUGGUUCGAAAUUGAAAGGCGGCUUCGGCUGUCACUGAUGGAUGGACCUGCGUCGCAUUAGCUAAUUGGUGAGGUAACGGCUCACCAAGGCAACGAUACGUAGCCGACCUGUGAGGGUGACCGGCCACACUGAUGCUGAGAAACGGCCCAGACGCCUACGGGAGGAAGCAGUAGGGAAUCUUGCGCAAUGGACGAAAGUCUGACGGAGCAACGCCGCGUGAUUGAUGAAGGCUUUCGGGUCGUAAAACUCUGUUGUUAGGGAAGAACAAGUGCUAGUUGAAUAAGCUGGCACCUUGACGGUACCUAACCAGAAAGCCACGGCUAACUACGUGCCAGCCGCCGCAGUAA